rnacentral:lncRNA from 1 species
UUUAUCCUGCUGCUUAGGGUUAGGGUUAGGAUUAGGUUAACAUUUAGGUUUCCAAUUUAUGUACCUGAAGUUUGAAGUGUGGGUAUAAUUUUUAGGGUUAGAGUUCUUCUUUUCAUAAGUGUCACUGGUAGAGCUGAAAUAGAGGUACCUGAAAAUGACUUCUGGGCAUUAUGGUUUGUGUCACAAUUCUGUUUAGGAUUAGGGAUAGGACGUGGUUAAAGUACCUGUUUAUUGGAGUUUUAGUAGGAUUGUUAGAGCUAGGAUUAGUGUUAGGUAAAGUAUAGUGUUUUGUAACACGUGCCUGAACAUUGCAGUGUGUGUAUGACUUGUAGUAUUAGGCUUAACGAUCUAGCUAGUGUUAGGUAUAGGGUUGGGGUAAUGGAUAGCAUUGAAUUUGAAAGGUCUGUGUCUUCAAGUGUGGGUUUGAAAGUGAGUAUUAGCGUCAGUUCAUGGUGAGGGUUAGGUGUAAUGUAGAAUUUCAAGUACCUGGGUAUUGGAAUGUGGUCCUGCUGCAUAGAUUUAGGGUUAGGAUUACUUUUAGGUUUAGGGUUCCAAUUCAUGUACCUGAGGUUUGGAGUGUGGGUAUGAUUUUUAGGGUUACGGUACUUCUUUUGGUAAGUGUCAUCGAUAGUGCUGAAAUAGAG